AGCAGCGUGGCUCAGUCGAAAGAGCCCGGGCUUGAGAGUCAGAGGCCAUGGGUUCGAAUCCCACCUCUGCCA
rnacentral:tRNA from 1 species